UCUUGAUUUAAAUGAUGUUUUAUCAAAAAUGAUUUUGCAGGAAAUCUUCUCUUGUUCUUCCUGAUGGUCAUGACAAGCAUCAAAGAAGAACUUCCUUUGUCAGCUUUGAUGAAACUCCAGUCAUUAUUGAGAGAGGAGACGAUUUACCAGAUGCGACAGAUGAUACCCCUGAUACCCCCUCUGCUCUGACCGCUACACCGGAUCUCAGUCCUUCAAUGAAGAAUAAGUUCAGAUGGACAGAUAGUAUUAAGAUCCGUAAGAAGAAGAGUGUGGACGAGGGUGUGAAGGGUCCCCUGGCAGCUGAGCCGCAAGAUGAGUCAUCUUGAUUUUAUUUUGAAUAUAAAGUGUUUUGUAGCAAGUUUUUAUUUUCUUUAAAAACUCUGUUCGUAUUAAUAAAGUAAUUGUAAGUAAACAUAUAUGUAAUUCGAAACAUAUCAUUUUUGAUAAAUAUAUGUCUUUUGGAAAAAAAA